rnacentral:rRNA from 1 species
UUGAACGCUGGCGGCAUGCCUAACACAUGCAAGUCGAACGAGGGUAGCAAUACUCUAGUGGCGGACGGGUGAGGAAUACGUAGGAAUCUGCCCUUAAGUGGGGGAUAACCCGGGGAAACCCGGAUUAAUACCGCAUGAUCUCGAAAGAGCAAAGCAGGGGAUCGCAAGACCUUGCGCUUUUGGAGGAGCCUACGUCGGAUUAGCUAGUUGGUGAGGUAAAGGCUCACCAAGGCGACGAUCCGUAACUGGUCUGAGAGGAUGAUCAGUCACACCGGAACUGAGACACGGUCCGGACUCCUACGGGAGGCAGCAGUGGGGAAUAUUGGACAAUGGGCGAAAGCCUGAUCCAGCAAUGCCGCGUGUGUGAAGAAGGCCUUCGGGUUGUAAAGCACUUUAAGUUGGGAAGAAAAAACUUCGUUUAAUACAUGAAGUCUUGACGGUACCGACAGAAUAAGCACCGGCUAACUCUGU